rnacentral:tRNA from 2 species
GCGGAAGUAGUUCAGUGGUAGAACACCACCUUGCCAAGGUGGGGGCCGCGGGUUCGAAUCCCGUCUUCCGCUCCA